GACCACCGGUUCUCGUUAGAUCACCGAAGUCAAGCAUCAUUGGGCGCGGUCAGUACUUGGGUGGGUGACCACUUGGGAACACCGGCGUGCC